GAAGCAGGCGUCCAGUAGUUUAUGGUCAAACAGGCAAAGAGUCACUAAGCAGAGUUUAAAUAGUGAGCAGGUGAUAUUGAGGGCAGGUGAGCUGAUUACUGCAAUGUGAGUCACCUGCAGUAAUCAGCUGAGUGCAGACAGGUGAAGCAGGGAGAGCAAGAGACAGGAACGAGGACAGAUGACAGACAGAGUUAAGUUGCUUCACCUGCCUGCACUCUAUUUGCUGAUUACUGUAAUGAGUGUCACCUGCAGUAAUUAGUUCACUCCAUUGACUGUUCUCAACCUCACCUCCAGUAUUUAAGCUCUGUGCUUCCAUUCACUCCUCGCCGGAUCAUCGGCUCACAUCCCUCCAUGGUUUCUGCUGCAUUCCUGGAUUGUGGGUUUCCCCACCAAGCCUUCUACUGCUUGUCAGCUUCAGCCUCUUGGACUCAACUGAUUUUGCUGUCCUGGAUUUCGCUCUUGUGGACUCUGUUCAACUCCUGUCUGUUUUUGGAUGCUCCCCAGUCUUCAGUCUGCCAGUUUUGUUUCCCCACUAGCUUCUGGGUUUUCCUAGCCUGCCUAGCCUUUAGCUCUGUUUUCCCCUGGUUUUUGUAAGUACAUUGCUGUGUUGUUUGGUUCAGGUUAUUCCUGUUUGGUUUUGUGGUUUUUGUAGGUUUGGUUUUGUGGUUUUUGUAGGUUUGGUUUUGUGGUUUUUGUAGGUUUGGUAGUGUAGUUUCUUUUAGUGUUAGUUGUGGUUUAGUUUGUCUGCUGGGGUCCGUUUCACGAAGCAGGUUCAACAAACUGUUGUUGGUUAAAUCAAGUCGGAGUAGUUUCCCCCGGAGUUAAGCAUGUGCACCACAGCUCUGAAAAGCCAGUAUCAAUGGAGCGCCGAUUCGACGAGUCACCAUGGCAACGGAAAGAAGUGCAACACCGCUGCAGCUGUAAACGAGAGGGAAACGGCGUGGGAGAACAUUGCUGCCCAAGUCAAUGUGUGCAAUCCUGUGGGAGAGAAGCGUACGUGGCAAACAGGUAAGACGUAUUUAUCACUGGAUAGACUGGAAGACAAAUUGUGGUUGUUCUAUUACCUCCACUGUGUUCAUUGAGUCUUCUCUGCAGGCUGGAAAGGUGGGCACCUGGAACCUUUGACUGAAUUUUAAGUAGCUAUACACCGCAACACAAGGAAAAACAACACGGGCCACAAGAAUAUCACAGGCCCUCUCAAGAAUGACCCUGAGGUGACAUAGACACUAUAAAUGAGCUUUCACCAAACCUACGAUCAUCUACACUUGUGCUCUUGUCCUACAGUGAGCCUGGUUGAAGUUCUGUUGGGGGUCAAAUUACAAGAUCAUCACUCUGGCUGGACAUGGUAACCUCUAUCACCCACCAAAAGACCAUCAAACUCUCCUGUAAUGUACACUGGAUACAUUAGACUAUAUUGAAGAACAUAGACAAAUCAAUCAUAUUGUUAAAAUCUUUAGGCAGCUUAGCACAUUGCAGUCUAUUGCUCAACUUAAACUCAUCACAAAUCCUCAAGCCAUGAACAAAACCAGACCACUUGACCUCCACACCAGAAAUAAUAUAUGCAGCAUCACAUAUGAUCUUGACAGUGCACAGAAUAACACAUGUUGAACUAUAAUGCAGCCUUUAACAUUUUGAAACUGUACUCAAUCUAACUGCAGCCUACCUGCACAUUUAUGCUGUGAAUGCACUUCCUGCUCACAUAAUCAGCUUCAGUAUGUCAGGCAACUGUGAUGGGGAUGUGUGUGCCAUCUAUGUAGCCAAUCACACUGACAAAUCCUAAAAGAUGUUAAAAUUACUAAUCCCAAUCUGACAUUGCAACAUUAUGUCAUUAACACAAUAUAAUGUAACAUUAAUUUAACACAUCUCUACAUCAUUGAUCUGCAAUCCUGUGAAACUCCUCCUUGAUGGCUCUGACAGGUUUAUGUCCAGGGAAUACCACAAAGACGAGUAAAAACCCUUUCAAUGCCAAGCACACUUUCCUGCCUCUCCUACACACAGUUGCCUUACGAAAGUGCUCUGCACCUCAGGCAUUAUACGGAAACACUUCCAUUUGCAAAGAACCACAGUGCAACACACAAUAUCUGCAGGGAUGUCAGAGCAUAACUGCAGUUGGUAAUGUCACAAAUGUAAGGACAGAUUACGUUGUGGAUGUAGAUUAUGAACUGUGAUGUAAAACAGUACCACUCUAAAAGACAACUAUCCAGAAAUGCAACAUCUGUGCACAGUCUGAUAACAAUCACCCAAAAAAUAUUUAAUUCUCUGCACAAUAAUGCUGCUCCUUCAUCCACUGCACCAUUAAUCAAAGGACAUGACAUUAAGACACACAGCAGAACUAGGCUUCACAAGAACUCACCUGCUGACUGAAUGAAUGACAAAAUCAAAUAACAUAUGUGGCUGAAAAAGGCCAAAGACAGAGAGUAACUCAAUGUUUACAGAGAUAAACCUGGUCCCGGCCAGGUUACAUUCAUGGAGUCCGUUACUACAGUAACUAACCAAAAGCUUUACUUACCUCUCUUUCUAAACAGGUUAAAGUUACCCCUCUGUCUCUAGUUUGAGCUACUUCCCCUAUCAUUAAUACAUUCCUGGUGUCCCGUCCUCCGUGCUGCUGAGCGUCUCUGUGGCCACAUGAGCGGAGUCUGGGAGCAGCAGCGGCUCUGGGAUUUACUACUGGGACUGAGGGAGUAUCUGGAUUAAUACCACACACCAGAUUUUUUAUUUCUCUUUUUGUUUUGUUUUUUAUUAUUCUUUUUUUGAAUUGUUGAAGCUUUUUUUUCUAUUUCUGGGCUGAAUAAACAACCUGCAGUCAUGUCUCGGGGUCCGGAUGAUGUGAGCAAGCUGACAGAAAGUACCUACAAGGCAGGUUAACGCCUGUCUUCCACGCCCCUUGCCGGAGCCUCAGAUCACGAAGCCCCGCCCACACCUCCGGCUGCGGCUCAGGGUGAUGCGAGGGGAAGAUGCAGACAUGGCGGGCUCGCUCCAAUCAGACCAACUCGAGAGGGCGGUUAUGGCCGGUGUACGGGCUGCACUUCAGGGUGUCGCUCCACCGGCGCAGUCCACACCACAAACGGUUUCCACACCACAGAUACCUCUGGCCGGGCCCUCACGUACUUCAAGCUUUGCUGCGACCACCACGUCACUAAGAUCGGUCUGCGAGAACUUUGACCAAAGAAGAAAUCAUAGGAAUAGUAUGGGCACAUAGUGAGAGGGUGGUCACAACAGCCUACAGACCAAUCUACAUGAGCCGAGGGAAUGUGUGGACAACUGCCCUCCGACAGUUUAGCAGGCGUAGAUUCGCUGACAGCACAGACAUGCUGUAUGUCACUUUUGCCAGCGGUGAAGACACCAAUGAGGAUGCAGAAGACCUUGGAGGCCCCAGACGAGAAUUCUUCCAUCUACUUGGAAAAGCUGUCUUUAAAGACAGUAGAGCAUUUGAAGUCAAAGGUCCCUCUCUAUCUCCCCACACAUCCACCAACCACUGGAACACAUCUCCAAAGUUCUGCCGGGCCAGCUCAGCUUCCCCUCAGAAGAAGUGCCGCCACCUGCCAGAUGAAGGAGCCUUUUGAGAGGCAGCUGGCAUCGUGAUUGGACUGUACUUUGGUCUGUUCCAAUCCAGCUUCAGCUCCAGAGACGGCAGGCGGGACGAGUCAACGGAGGCCGGGUGGACGAAGGCAUGCAGCUGAGUACAAUCCAGAAAACAACAGAGGAGGAGUGCAGUGGCCCAGGGCCAGAACAAACAGAGUAGCAUGGUAUGUCUCUUAGAAAACAUCAUAGUAUAGCCUUUGGUAUGAAAAAACGCCAUCAUAUACAUCGUAUAUUGUACAAAUAACAAGUCAAAGGAAAGAGACAUACAUUGUAGAAUUGUAGUAAUUGUGGGCUGACUGAUUUACUGAUUAUCAGUAUUUUGUUUUUUACCGAUUUACGGUAAUAAAUCAAUUUAAAAAUGA